UACGAGGGGGGCGAGCGUUGUUCGGAAUUAUUGGGCGUAAAGAGCUUGUAGGCGGUUUGUCGCGUCUGCUGUGAAAUUUCGGGGCUCAACCCCGAACUUGCAGUGGGUACGGGCAGACUAGAGUGUGGUAGGGGGAGACUGGAAUUCCUGGUGUAGCGGUGAAAUGCGCAGAUAUCAGGAGGAACACCGAUGGCGAAGGCAGGUCUCUGGGCCACUACUGACGCUGAGAAGCGAAAGCAUGGGGAGCGAACAGG
rnacentral:rRNA from 1 species